GUUACAUCAGUGACUCUGUCUCUGACUCAGAGAACCACAGUUACAUCAGUGACUCUGUCUCUGACUCAGAGAACCACAGUUGCAUCAAAGACUCUGUCUCCGACUCAGAGAACCACAGUUACAUCAGUGACUCUGUCUCCAACUCAGAGAACCACAGUUACAUCAGUGACUCUGACUCAGAGAACCACAGUUACAUCAGUGACUCUGUCUCCAACUCAGAGAACCACAGUUACAUCAGUGACUCUGUCUCCAACUCAGAGAACCACAGUUACAUCAGUGACUCUGUCUUCGACUCAGAGAACCACAGUUACAUCAGUGACUCUGUCUCCAACUCAGAGAACCACAGUUACAUCAGUGACUCUGUCUCCGACUCAGAGAACCACAGUUACAUCAGUGACUCUGUCUCCAACUCAGAGAACCACAGUUACAUCAGUGACUCUGUCUCCGACUCAGAGAACCACAGUUACAUCAGUGACUCUGUCUCCAACUCAGAGAAC